rnacentral:rRNA from 1 species
UACGGAAGGGGCAAGCGUUGUUCGGAAUCAUUGGGCGUAAAGGGCGCGUAGGCGGUCGCGUAUGUCUGCUGUGAAAGCACACGGCUCAACCGUGUGAAGUCGGUAGAAACUGCGGGACUUGAGGCUGGGAGAGGUUGGUGGAAUUCCCUGUGUAGCGGUGAAAUGCGUAGAUAUAGGGGAGAACACUCGUGGCGAAGGCGGCCAGCUGGACCAGCCCUGACGCUGAGGCGCGACAGCGUGGGGAGCAAACAGGAUUAGAAACCCGAGUAGUCC